rnacentral:rRNA from 1 species
GACGAACGCUGGCGGCGUGCUUAACACAUGCAAGUCGAACGGAAAGGCCCUGCUUUUGUGGGGUGCUCGAGUGGCGAACGGGUGAGUAACACGUGAGUAACCUGCCCUUGACUUUGGGAUAACUUCAGGAAACUGGGGCUAAUACCGGAUAGGAGCUCCUGCUGCAUGGUGGGGGUUGGAAAGUUUCGGCGGUUGGGGAUGGACUCGCGGCUUAUCAGCUUGUUGGUGGGGUAGUGGCUUACCAAGGCUUUGACGGGUAGCCGGCCUGGGAGGGUGACCGGCCACAUUGGGACUGAGAUACGGCCCAGACGCCAACGGGAGGCAGCAGGGGGGAAUAUUGCACAAUGGGCGGAAGCCUGAUGCAGCAACGCCGCGUGCGGGAUGACGGCCUUCGGGUUGUAAACCACUGUCUCCUGUGACAAAGCGUGAGUGACGGUAAUGGGUAAAGAAGCACCGGCUAACUACGUG